UACGAGGGGGGCAAGCGUUGUUCGGAUUUAUUGGGCGUAAAGGGUGCGUAGGCGGCCAACUAAGUCAGACGUGAAAUCCCUCGGCUUAACCGGGGAACUGCGUCUGAUACUGGAUGGCUUGAGUUCGGGAGAGGGAUGCGGAAUUCCAGGUGUAGCGGUGAAAUGCGUAGAUAUCUGGAGGAACACCGGUGGCGAAGGCGGCAUCCUGGACCGAAACUGACGCUGAGGAGCGAAAGCCAGGGGAGCAAACGG
rnacentral:rRNA from 1 species